AUGUGCUCCCCUUCCUCCACCCCGACUCCCCGAGCUCCUCCCUCAGUGUGCAGUGAUUUGCUAACCACUGUUGUGCUGCGAGGAGGAGAGACGGCGCCCUCAUCGUCGACAUCCCAAUUUUCUGUCUCUUGUUCUCUUCUUCCACAGGUUGCGGUAGCAGCAGAACUAGGAGGUGCCUUAGGUGGCAUGGUUAGGCAGCUGUCAGUUGGUCAGUUUGAAAAUGAAGGAAGAAGGGUUAUCUAUGGCAUUCCUAACAACGCACGGGCAGCUAGAAAAUUACUGGAACGGCAAUUGUCUAUUAAUAGUGUGCCCAGAAAGAUAAAUCAGCUUGCAAGGCUCUGGAUUAUAUAUCCACUUUCACCAAUUGCUUGA
rnacentral:rRNA from 1 species